rnacentral:rRNA from 1 species
GCAGCCGCGGUAAUACGUAGGUAGCAAGCGUUGUCCGGAAUGACUGGGCGUAAAGGGUGCGUAGGUUGCUUGGCAAGUUGGUGGUGAAAUUCCGGGGCUUAACUCCGGCGCUACCACCAAGACUGCUGAGCUUGAGUACAGGAGAGGUAAGUGGAAUUCCUAGUGUAGCGGUGGAAUGCGUAGAUAUUAGGAGGAACACCAGUGGCGAAGGCGACUUACUGGCCUGCAACUGACACUGAGGCACGAAAGCGUGGGGAGCAAACAGGAUUAGAUACCCC